GCAAAACCAGCAAGAUGGGUUGAUCGAUGGAGAGCUCAAGGAGUCAAAACCAUUCAUCUAAGUGGCAAUUAUCACAAUCCACAAGCCAUAGUAUAUGCCCUUUCUCGCUAAUGCGCCGCGAAGAGAAACGUCGUAAGUUCCAUGAAGCCCUGCUCAACACUCUUUAUCCACCAAAGCCAGAGCCCCAGGCGGAAGAUGAAAAAGAGCCUUUGAGCACUCCUGGGGAAGACUUUGAUGUGAAUCUGAUUCCAGAUGAUUAUGGGCUGCGGCAAAGUAGUUCCUCUACUAGUGAGGAUGAUGGUGAGAGUGACUGCGGGCAACAGAAGUUAACCAGGGCUCAGAGGAAGAGGCUUCGUAAGAAGAAGCUUAAGGAAGAAAAUUCUCGUCGAAGAGAAAUUAUUGGGCCAUUGUUACCUCCAUCAAACAACGAUAGCGGUGGGGAUGGUAGUGGAGCAGUCGAUGAAGACACUCCAGGUGCUCGAGAAAAUGCUGAGGACAGUCAUGGUAACCAAAGCAGCGGAAGCAAGGUAAAGCAGAGGAGGAUGGCGAAGAGGUUGCGAAGGGAAAGGUUGAAAUCUCAACGUGGUGAUGUGUAGAGGGAUUUUAGGAUCAUCAAAUGCUGGAGAAAGCGAUUGAAUCUUAUGUAACUCAACUGCUGGGAGAUUCAUUGGGUCCAUGAAAGGAAAAGCUACAUUGAGUGGGUGCUUAGUUUUUGUAAGUGCAGCAGAUGGUCGGUAAACAGUUGAUUGUUGAUUUGAUUUGG
rnacentral:misc_RNA from 1 species